rnacentral:rRNA from 1 species
CGAGGACGAACGCUGGCGGCGUGCUUAACACAUGCAAGUCGAACGGACUAUAGCAAUAUAGUUAGUGGCGAACGGGUGAGUAACACGUGACUAAUCUGCCCCGGACUGGGGGAACAACGGAGGGAAACUUCCGCUAAUACCGCAUGUUGAUGUGGGAUCGCAUGGUCCUGCUUUGAAAGAUUUAUCGGUCCGGGAUGAGGUCGCGCCCCAUUAGCUUGUUGGCGGGUAAUGGCCCACCAAGGCGACGAUGGGUAGCUGGUCUGAGAGGAUGAUCAGCCACACUGGGACUGAGAUACGGCCCAGACUCCUAUGGGAGGCAGCAGUGAGGAAUAUUGCGCAAUGGGCGAAAGCCUGACGCAGCAACGCCCGCGUGAAGGAUGAAGGUCCUUUGGAUUGUAAACUUCUGUAGGGAGGGACGAAUGGCUUGGUUUUGCCGAGUCUGACGGUACCUCCAAAGUAAGCACCGGCUAACUCCGUGCCAGCCGCCGC